GGCCCAUGUUUCUGCCGUUAGCAACGUGGUUAUUUCUAGAGGUUGUGCAAGAACCAUUAUCGUUUGCGCGUUUGAGUCCCUCCAGAUGCUCCAAUCCCCCUGAAUGGUUGGUUUUGGUUAUGUUUGUUGCCAUUAUGUGAGGAAGGGAUUGUUAAACAUCAGAGUAAAUCCUAAUCCAACAGACCCCUAUGCGACUCUACCCACCUGAAAUUGAAAGGUGACACAUCUCUCUCCGAUUUUCUCUCUCCGAGUUCCCAGGUACACUCACAAUCUCUCUCAUUCACCAUUCACUAAGCUGAAUAACAGAAGAAAUGUUUGAAAAACCCUAGUUUUCAAUAACAGAUUCAUUCCUUCCCAUUUGGAUAAAUGCAGAAGCUCUUGAAUUCCCGAGGAAUCUUUCGUUCUGACA